rnacentral:lncRNA from 1 species
AGGCAGCUAUUAUGAGACUCAUCUCAGUUGUGCUGUGGCUGAAGGAUGCUUAUAGCAGUAAUGUGCCCCUGCUCAUGUCCCCUGCUCCUUCAAGGAAGGCUGUGUACCUUAGGAUUGCUCCUUGGUGGCCAUGAAGCUCCACAGCUCACAAAGGAACACAUUUAUUAAGCAAACAAACAAAAUACCUGUUCGCGGCUGGGGAUACAAAAUUUAAAAGGAAGAGUCCCUGUCCUUCACAUGUUAGUGAUAUGAUAAAUGUUGUGAUUGAUAUGAAGAUAUCGUGGAUACAUUUAGAUGGAACAGCAAUCAAACCUAGGUUGAGAAGAUCUUAUCAAGAGGACUACUGAUGGACUGAUCUCUGACCAACACUAGCCAGGAUAUAUCGGAAUAUGAACAGCAAUGCGGAAGGGCACAACAGGAGCACUAACAGCUGGACCCAGAUCCCAGGGGGAAUUAACAGUCUCAGAACACUGAACCUCCAAAAGAACCUGCCAACUUACCCCCAGGACUGUCUAUGACCUGAGCUUUGAAUGCUAGCCACUUCAGCUCCUUAACAGUGCUGUCAUUUGAUUCCAUUUACUUGUGGAAAUGGGAUUCAUUUUCGUCAGAACUGAAGUCCUUUUAAUUGAUAUUUACAUAAAUUUUCAAUUCAAUUUGAUCUCCUAUGAUCACCUCUGCGGCACAGAAAGAGACUAUGCACUUCAGUGAACUUUGUUCUGUGGACCCUCACAGCUUAUUUACCAGUUCUCCCUCCAUUAGAAAAUUGCAAAUUGUUCUGGGAUGUGUGGGCAGCAAAAAAUAUAAUUAAUAUUUCAUAGUUUUGUGUUACUACAGGAAAUAGAGGCUUUUGAAAUAUCAUCUUGUUAAUCAGUUGAUCUUUCUCCUCAAUAAUUAGAUCUUUCAAUUUACUUCUAAAAUUACUGAAAAUGGUAUUUAUUUAAUUCAUUUAAUGAAAAAAAUGACAUUUGAAAAUAAUAGAUAUUUUUAUAUUGAAUUGAAUUCUCCCAACACUCUUAGUGGCUAAUUCAUUGCUACUAUCACUUAAAACUUUGAUCUUCUAAUUUUUAAUGGGUUAGAAUUGAGAUAAUUAGAAAGUACAUGAUAGUGACUAAUUAGAAUAUGAACAGCACUAUGGGUGAACCACAAAUAAAGAGUGGGAAAUGUGUUGAAUUUUUUUAAUGUUUGAAAUUAUAUUGG